rnacentral:rRNA from 1 species
UGUAGGACUACGCCGUUGCAUGAAGACAUCAGAGAAGAACUUUCUGGAAAGAAAGACCAUAGAGCAUGACAGUUGCGUAUUCGAAUGUUGUCGAAGCAUAGUAGUAUCCUGAGUAGCGCGGAGCACGAGGAAUUCUGCGUGAAUCUGCCGGGACCAUCCGGUAAGGCUAAAUACUCCCGAGAGACCGAUAGCGAACCAGUACCGUGAGGGAAAGGUGAAAAGCACUUCGAACAGAAGAGUGAAAUAGUUCCUGAAACCGUGCGCCUACAAGCGGUCGGAGCUCGUUAAUGAGUGACGGCGUGCCUUUUGCAUAAUGAACCUACGAGUUGCCUUUGCCGGCAAGGUUAAGUGUGACGACACACGUAUCCGAAGCGAAAGCGAGUCUGAAGAGGGCGUAUAGUCGGCAGUGGCAGACGCGAAACCAAGUGAUCUACCCUUGGCCAGGUUGAAGGCUGGGUAACACCAGCUGGAGGACCGCACCAAUAAGCGUUGAAAAGCUUCUGGAUGAGCUGAGGGUAGGGGUGAAAGGCUAAUCAAACUUGGAGAUAGCUCGUACUCCCCGAAAUGCAUUUAGGUGCAGCCUUGCGGGUUACUGAUGUGAGGUAGAGCGACUGAUAAGAUGCGAGGGCUUCACCGCCUAUCAAGUCUUGACAAACUCCGAAUGCGCAUCAGUUCUACCGCAGGAGUGAGGGCAUGGGUGCUAAGGUCCGUGCCCGAGAGGAGAAGAAUCCGGACCACCUGCUAAGGUCCCGAAAUGACAGCUAAGUUAAACUAACGAAGUCUGACUGCUAAGACAGCUAGGAUGUUGGCUUGGAAGCAGCCAUUCAUUUAAAGAGUGCGUAACAGCUCACUAGUCGAGGAGUCGGGCGUGGAUAAUAAUCGGGUAUUAAGUUGUCUACCGAAGCAGUGGGAUCAUUUAUAUGAUCGGUAGGGGAGCAUUCCAGUCAGCGUCGAAGGCGUACCGUGAGGUAUUCUGGAGCGUCUGGAAAAGCAAAUGUAGGUAUAAGUAACGAUAAAGGGGGCGGGAAACCCCCUCGCCGAAAGACUAAGGUUUCCUGAUCAACGCUAAUCGGAUCAGGGUCAGUCGGGUCCUAAGGCUCAGCCGAACGGCGAUGCCGAUGGCAGAAACGGUUAAUAUUCCGUUACUACCUUCAGGAGUGACGUGGAGACGCAGUAGUGACAGUGCCGCCAUCUGACGGAAUAGAUGGUUGAAGGGUGUAGGAGUCGAUCAUGGCAGGCAAAUCCACCAUGAGAUCCGAACCUGAUAGUAUGCCGCGUCCUUCGGGACAAGGCAAUAGUGCGCGUAAGCAUGCUGCCGAGAAAAUCCGCUAAACUUAAUCCUGUAGGUACCCGUACCGCAAACGGACACACGUAGUCGGGAUGAAUAUUCUAAGGCGCUUGAGUGAUUCACGGUUAAGGAACUAGGCAAACUGACCCUGUAACUUCGGGAUAAAGGGUCCCUACCCUUUUAUGGGAGGGCGCAGAGAAUCGGUCCAGGCAACUGUUUAACAAAAACACAGGGCUGUGCCAAAUCGAAAGAUCCAGUAUACAGCCUGACACCUGCCCGGUGCUGGAAGGUUAAGAGGAGAUGUCAUCGAUAAGAGAAGCGUUGAAUUGAAGCCCCAGUAAACGGCGGCCGUAACUAUAACGGUCCUAAGGUAGCGAAAUUCCUUGUCGGGUAAGUUCCGACCUGCACGAAUGGUGUAAUGAUCUGGACGCUGUCUCAACCGUGAGCUCAGUGAAAUUGUAGUAUCGGUGAAGAUGCCGAUUACCCGCGAUGGGACGAAAAGACCCCGUGAACCUUUACUAUAGCUUA